rnacentral:rRNA from 1 species
GCAACUCCAUUCUGGAACCGAGAAGCUGGUCAAACUUGGUCAUUUAGAGGAAGUAAAAGUCGUAACAAGGUUUCCGUAGGUGAACCUGCGGAAGGAUCAUUACUGAUUUGCUUAAUUGCACCACAUGUGUUUUGUUUUGGACAAACUUGCUUUGGCGGUGGGCCUCUGCCUGCCGCCAGAGGAUAUAAACUUACAACCAAAUUUUUUAUAAACUUGUCACGAGAUUAUUUUUAAUAGUCAAAACUUUCAACAACGGAUCUCUUGGUUCUCGCAUCGAUGAAGAACGCAGCGAAAUGCGAUACGUAAUAUGAAUUGCAGAUAUUCGUGAAUCAUCGAAUCUUUGAACGCACAUUGCGCCCUCUGGUAUUCCGGAGGGCAUGCCUGUUUGAGCGUCGUUCUCCCUCAAACCCCUAGGGUUUGGUGUUGAGCAAUACGACUUGGGUUUGCUUGAAGAUGAUAGUGGUUAAGCGGAGAUGCUUGACAAUGGCUUAGUGUUACCCAACAACAUUGCUUAGGCGGUCUCUGGCGUCGGCCAUUUUAUUCUUCAACUUGACCUCAAAUCAAGGWAGACUACCGCUGACUUAAGCACACCAUAAGCGGAGGAAAAGAACCAACAGCGAUUGCCUAAGUAGCGGCGAGUGAAGCGCCAAAAGCUCAAAUUUGAAAUCUGGUGUCUUUGGCGUCCGAGUUGUAAUUUGAAGAAGGUAUCUUUGGGCCCGUCUCUCGUCUAUGUUCCUUGGAACAGGACGUCACAGAGGGUGAGAAUCCCGUGCGAUGAGAUGGCCCGGGUCUAUGUAAAGUUCCUUCGACGAGUCGAGUUGUUUGGGAAUGCAGCUCUAAGUGGGUGGUAAAUUCCAUCUAAAGCUAAAUAUUGGCGAGAGACCGAUAGCGAACAAGUACAGUGAUGGAAAGAUGAAAAGAACUUUGAAAAGAGAGUGAAAAAGUACGUGAAAUUGUUGAAAGGGAAGGGCUUGAGAUCAGACUUGGUAUUUUGCAAGUUACUCUUUCGGGGGUGGCCUCUGCGGUUUACCGGGCCAGCAUCGGUUUGGAGCGGUAGGAUAAUGGCGGGGGAAUGUGGCACGACUUUGGUUGUGUGUUAUAGCCUCUGACGA